GCGGGAGUAGCUCAGUUGAUAGAGCAUUAGCCUUCCAAGCUGAGGGUCGCGGGUUUGAGUCCCGUCUCCCGCU
rnacentral:tRNA from 2 species